UACGUAGGGGGCAAGCGUUGUUCGGAAUUACUGGGCGUAAAGGGCGCGUAGGCGGCAUGGCAAGUCAGGAGUGAAAGGCCUGGGCUCAACCGAGGAACUGCUUUUGAUACUGCCAAGCUAGAGUGCGGAAGGGGCAACUGGAAUUCCCAGUGUAGCGGUGAAAUGCGUAGAUAUUGGGAAGAACACCUGAGGCGAAGGCGGGUUGCUGGGCUGACACUGACGCUGAGGCGCGAAAGCUAGGGGAGCGAACGGG
rnacentral:rRNA from 1 species